rnacentral:lncRNA from 1 species
GUUGUUCAUGUUAUCCCUUAAUAAGUAAAGGAUUAAGGAAUAAAUUUGAACCUACUGCCUAUAAAUGUGUCUUUAUAGGGUAUUCAAACAAACACAAAGGAUAUAUGUGUUUAAAGUUAGAAGAUAAUAAAGUCAUUAUAUCUCGAAAUGUCAAAUUUAAUGAAAAUGAGUAUCCUUUUUUAACUAAAACAGAUACUAAAACAGUAAAGAAGCCUGAAAAGAAAAUGAUAAUACUUCCAAGACUAGCUACUACAAUAAAUUUUGGCUUUCCUAUAAAUACAGGAAACUCAAACAGUGAGUUAAGGGUAGAACCAGAGUCAAGUCCUGUAAGGAGAGUCACUCACUCACAACAGAACAACUCUACAAAUGACUCAAUGGAUAUAAUCUCAGAGUCAACUGAGAUAAGUAGCUUAGUACCCCAGACCAUGAGAGUUGAGUCUGAUAUGCAAUCUAACACUAGAAGUGAGACAAGACAACAAAGAGAUAUUUCUGAGAAUCAAAUAAACACAGUUUGUAACUCAAUACCACGAGAUAUAAGUAGUAGAUCUGAAGAACCAAUCAACAUAGGAGUUAGAUAUCCGACUAGAGAUAGAAAAGCACCAAAGUUUUUAGAAAAUUAUGAGUGUAAUUCUUGCUCUGGCGAAGAGAUAGAACCAUCCACCUUCAGUGAGGCAAGUAAAGAACCUAAGUGGAAUGAGGCAAUGCAAGAGGAACUAGAUGCAUUGAAAAUUAACAAAACAUGGACUUUAGUACCAAAAAAUUCGUCAAUGAAUAUAGUAGGUUGUAAGUGGGUCUAUAAAAUUAAAAAGAACUCAGAUGGUUCAAUAGAAAGGUACAAAGCUAGAUUAGUAGCUAAGGGCUACAAUCAGGAGGAAGGAGUGGACUAUACAGAGACUUACAGUCCAGUAAUUAGGAUGAACACAGUAAGAUCAAUCAUUUCAAUUGCUGUGACAUAUAACUGGCAGCUAAGACAACUGGAUAUCAAAAAUGCCUUCCUAAAUGGCUUUCUAAACGAAACAGUAUACAUGAGACAACCAACUGGGUUUCAUAAUAAGAGUUAUCCAGAUCAUGUGUGUCUAUUACAUAAGGCUCUAUAUGGCUUAAAACAAGCACCCAGAGCUUGGUACUCAAGACUUCAAAAUUUUCUAGUUGAAAAUGAAUUCAAAAAUAGUCUUACAGAUUCCUCAUUGUUCCUCAAAGUGAACAAUGGACAUAGAAUCUACAUACUAGUCUAUGUAGAUGAUAUUAUAAUUACUGGGGAUUCCAGUGAGGAAGUAAAUAGGUGCAUAGAAUUAAUAUGUAAACAAUUUUCAUGUAGAGACCUAGGGCUUCUUAACUAUUUUUUAGGAAUGGAAUGUAUAAGACAAGGGAAAACCUUAAUUCUAAGUCAAGAAAAAUAUGUGUAUGAUAUAUUGAAAAAAUUCAAUAUGAUGGAAUGCACACCAUGUAGGACACCAAUGGUUCAAAAUCCAAGACUAAAUAAAAAUUCAGGGACUCCUAUAGAAAACAAUACAAUAUACAGAAACAUUGUAGGGUCCUUACAAUAUCUAACUAUGACUAGACCUGAUAUUGUCUUUUGUGUGAAUCAUCUUAGUCAGUUUCUACAAACACCAACUGAUGUACAUCUUAGUUUUGCUAAGAGGAUGCUAAGAUAUAUCAAGGGAUCUUCUAACCUAGGACUGAGAUUUACACCUUCAGUCAAACUAGUAAAUUCUUUGAUAGCCUACUGUGAUUCAGACUGGGCAAGUGAUACUGAUGAUAGGAGAUCAGUGUCUGGAUUCAGCAUCUGGUUUGCUGGAAAUUUGGUAGCCUGGGCAUCAAAGAAACAGGCAGUGGUAUCAAAAUCGAGUUGUGAGGCUGAAUACAGGGCACUAUCUGGGAUAACUUCAGAAGUUAAGUGGUUCUGUAAUUUGUUUAGGGAACUGGAGAUUAGGUUUGAGACAGCUCCACAAAUAUUAUGUGAUAAUAAAUCAGCAAUUUUUCUCACUAAAAAUCCAUCAUCAAACCUGAAAACUAGACAUAUAGAUAUCUCACACCAUUUUAUUAGAGAGCUGGUGAUGAAAGGGGCAAUAAAAGUGGAUUAUAUUGCUGCUAGUCAACAACUAGCAGAUGGUUUCACUAAAGUACUGGGAACAGGGCAAUUUAUGGUUCAUAGGGAUAGACAUAAACUAGUACCAACCAGUCCUGAUCCUAGAAUCAUAAUGAAGGACAAGAAUAGGCUAACAAAAUCGCAAGACAUAAGUAAACCAAAGCUAAUUAAGGAGGCUUAGGAGAAUGACUAUAUAAGGGAGACUAUAAUACUGGAUAUUAGGUUAUAUAGAUAAUAAUAAUAAUAAUAAUGAUACUGAGGUGUUGUAUUUCUGAUUUCUGUUCUUAUAGUAAUACUUGUAUUCAUAUUAGGAAAUGUUACAUAAAUAUGAUGUUGAAAAUUGCAGGGUGAUAAUCUGAAAUAUAGUCUAAAAAUAUUUUGUCUGUUUGUUAAGGAAUGGUCUAUAUUUUUCUGGUUUGGUUUGUGGGAAUGGCUACUGUGGAUGUAUGUUUGUGUGGUUGCAGGUCAUACUAAGAUAGGUCAUGCCCAAAUAACUGGAAAUUUAAUCUGGAGCAGAAAAUGUGAAAUCUAGAGCAGCAGGAGCUUUGAGAAUGAGCAGCGAGUUUUUUUUUUUGUUCUUUCUUUCAGGGUCUUAAUUGGCAUAACAGGAGGGUUUUCCCAGUAAAAAUGAAAGAAAGAGGAGCAAAAAUAAGAAUCCCAGCUGGGUUUUUCGCCCCCCCUGUUAGUUCAAUUAAUUCAUAGCUGAGUUAGUUCACAAGGCUGCUAAGGAGGUGGACAGACAAGCUGAUGAUCAUACUCAUGUUCAAAUUCACAACUCAGGAUUGCAUUCUGGAGUUGUCAAUUUGCGGGGGAAUGUAAAGAGUUAAAAAUACUAUAAGGAGUAUUUUAUAAAUGUACCCAUAAUAUCAAUUAUAAGUAUAGGUUAAUAUGUAAUGAUAGAUUAAGUUGAAUGUUAUAAUCUUUGAGUGUCAAUUAAAGAGUUUACUCUUUCUUCUUCUUGUUUGAC